rnacentral:rRNA from 1 species
ACUCCAGACUCCUACGGGAGGCAGCAGUGGGGAAUAUUGCACAAUGGGGGAAACCCUGAUGCAGCGACGCCGCGUGAGUGAAGAAGUCUUUCGGUAUGUAAAGCUCUAUCAGCAGGGAAGAAAAUGACGGUACCUGACUAAGAAGCCCCGGCUAACUACGUGCCAGCAGCCGCGGUAAUACGUAGGGGGCAAGCGUUAUCCGGAUUUACUGGGUGUAAAGGGAGCGUAGACGGCAUGGCAAGUCAGAUGUGAAAGCCCGGGGCUCAACCCCGGGACUGCAUUUGAAACUGUAGGUCUUGAGUAUCGGAGAGGCAGGCGGAAUUCCUAGUGUAGCGGUGAAAUGCGUAGAUAUUAGGAGGAACACCAGUGGCGAAGGCGGCCUGCUGGACGACAACUGACGGUGAGGCGCGAAAGCGUGGGGAGCAAACAGGAUUAGAUACCCGGGUAAG